UUGCCUAGUAACGGCGAGUGAAGCGGCAAGAGCUCAAAUUUGAAAUCUGGCCCCUCCGGGGUCCGAGUUGUAAUUUGCAGAGGAUGCUUCGGGUGCGGUCCCCAUCUAAGUGCCCUGGAACGGGCCGUCAUAGAGGGUGAGAAUCCCGUCUGGGAUGGGUGGCCGUGCCCGUGUGAAGCUCCUUCGACGAGUCGGGUUGUUUGGGAAUGCAGCUCUAAAUGGGUGGUAAAUUUCAUCUAAAGCUAAAUAUUGGCCGGAGACCGAUAGCGCACAAGUAGAGUGAUCGAAAGAUGAAAAGCACUUUGAAAAGAGAGUUAAACAGCACGUGAAAUUGUUGAAAGGGAAGCGCUUGCGACCAGACUCGCCCGCGGGGGUUCAGCCGGUACUCGUACCGGUGUAUUCCCCCGUGGGCGGGCCAGCGUCGGUUUGGGCGGCCGGUCAAAGGCCCCCGGAAUGUGUCGCCUCUCGGGGCGUCUUAUAGCCGGGGGUGCAAUGCGGCCAGCCUGGACCGAGGAACGCGCUUCGGCACGGACGCUGGCGUAAUGGUCGUAAGCGGCCCGUCUUGAAACACGGACCAAGGAGUCUAACAUCUACGCGAGUGUUCGGGUGUCAAACCCGUCCGCGCAGUGAAAGCGAACGGAGGUGGGAACCUUUCGGGGUGCACCAUCGACCGAUCCUGAUGUCUUCGGAUGGAUUUGAGUAAGAGCGUAGCUGUUGGGACCUCGAAAGAUGGUGAACUAUGCCUGAAUAGGGCGAAGUCAGGAGGAAACUCUGGUGGAGGCUCGCAGCGGUUCUGACGUGCAAAUCGAUCGUCAAAUUUGGGUAUAGGGGCGAAAGACUAAUUCGAACCAUCUGGUAGCUGGUUUCCUGCCGAGU
rnacentral:rRNA from 1 species